rnacentral:rRNA from 1 species
GACGAACGCUGGCGGCGUGCUUAACACAUGCAAGUCGAACGGAAAGGCCCUGCUUUUGUGGGGUGCUCGAGUGGCGAACGGGUGAGUAACACGUGAGUAACCUGCCCUUGACUUUGGGAUAACUUCAGGAAACUGGGGCUAAUACCGGAUAGGAGCUCCUGCUGCAUGGUGGGGGUUGGAAAGUUUCGGCGGUUGUGGAUGGAAUCGCGGCUUCUCCGCUUGUUGGUGGGGUAGUGGCUUACCAAGGCUUUGACGGGUAGCCGGCCUGAGAGGGUGACCGGCCACAUGGGGACUGAGAUACGGCCCAGACUCCUACGGGAGGCAGCAGUGGAGAAUAUUACACAAUGGGCGGAAGCCUGAUGCAGCAACGCCGCGUGCGGGAUGACGGCCUACGGGUUGUAAACCGCUUUCGCCUGUGACGAAGCGUGAGUGACGGUAAUGGGUAAAGAAGCACCGGCUAACUACGUG